GAAAGACUGGACGGAUCGUGUUCCUUGUCUUCGAUUUAAACAGAGAGAGUCAGAGAGAGGAUACCUCGAGUUUGUCUACAAAAGGGGCUGCUGGUCGUAUCUUGGCCAUAUUGGUAGACGUCAAGAAGUCUCUAUUGGACGGUACACUGAGGAUCCCCCCUGUGUACAAGGAUCAAUCACUCACGAGUUAGGACACGCCAUCGGAUUUUUACACGAACAGAAUCGACCUGACAGGGAUGAUUACGUCAAAAUCAACUGGCAUAACAUGGCGCGCGG